UACGGAGGGGGCUAGCGUUGUUCGGAAUUACUGGGCGUAAAGCGCACGUAGGCGGAUCAGUCAGUUAGAGGUGAAAGCCCAGGGCUCAACCCUGGAACUGCCUUUAAUACUGCUGGUCUGGAGUCCGAGAGAGGUGAGUGGAAUUCCGAGUGUAGAGGUGAAAUUCGUAGAUAUUCGGAGGAACACCAGUGGCGAAGGCGGCUCACUGGACCGGUACUGACGCUGAUGCGCGAAAGCGUGGGGAGCAAACGGG
rnacentral:rRNA from 1 species